rnacentral:rRNA from 1 species
AACGAACGCUGGCGGCAGGCUUAACACAUGCAAGUCGAGCGCCCCGCUAGGGGCGCGGCGGACGGGUGUGUAUAGCGUGGGAACGUACCUUUUGGUUCGGAACAACUCCGGGAAACUGGAGCUAUUACCGGAUAAGCCCUAACGGGGAAAGAUUUAUCGCCGAUAGAUCGGCCCGCGUCUGAUUAGCUAGUUGGUGUGGUAACGGCCCACCAAGGCGACGAUCAGUAGCUGGUCUGAGAGGAUGAUCAGCCACACUGGGACUGAGACACGGCCCAGACUCCUACGGGAGGCAGCAGUGGGGAAUAUUGGACAAUGGGCGCAAGCCUGAUCCAGCCAUGCCGCGUGAGUGAUGAAGGCCUUAGGGUUGUAAAGCUCUUUUGUCCGGGAAGAUAAUGACUGUACCGGAAGAAUAAGCCCCGGCUAACUUCGUG